rnacentral:rRNA from 1 species
UGGGGAAUUUUGGACAAUGGGCGAAAGCCUGAUCCAGCAAUGCCGCGUGUGUGAAGAAGGCCUUCGGGUUGUAAAGCACUUUUGUCCGGAAAGAAAUCCUUGGCUCUAAUACAGUCGGGGGAUGACGGUACCGGAAGAAUAAGCACCGGCUAACUACGUGCCAGCAGCCGCGGUAAUACGUAGGGUGCAAGCGUUAAUCGGAAUUACUGGGCGUAAGCGUGCGCAGGCGGUUUGCUAAGACCGAUGUGAAAUCCCCGGGCUCAACCUGGGGAACUGCAUUGGUGACUGGCAGGCUAGAGUAUGGCAGAGGGGGGUAGAAUUCCACGUGUAGCAGUGAAAUGCGUAGAGAUGUGGAGGAAUACCGAUGGCGAAGGCAGCCCCCUGGGCCAAUACUGACGCUCAUGCACGAAAGCGUGGGGAGCAAAACAGGAUUAGAUACCCUGGGUAGUCCACGCCCUAAAACGAUGUCAACUAGUUGUUGGGGGACUUCAUUUUCCUUAGUAACGUAGCUAACGCGUGAAGUUGACCGCCUGGGGAGUACGGUCGCAAGAUUAAAACUUAAAUGAAUUGCGGGGUCNUAGCUG